GUCGCUCUAACGGGGUGCCGGCAGAUUGCCGGCUGAGAGGCUUGGGGAUGAACCGGCCAACCCGCUGAACCUGAUCCGGUUUGCACCGGCGGAGGGAUUAGACGCUUUCGAAGC
rnacentral:ncRNA from 2 species